AGUGAACGCUGGCGGUAGGCCUAACACAUGCAAGUCGAACGGCAGCACAGUAAGAGCUUGCUCUUACGGGUGGCGAGUGGCGGACGGGUGAGGAAUACAUCGGAAUCUACUUUUUCGUGGGGGAUAACGUAGGGAAACUUACGCUAAUACCGCAUACGACCUACGGGUGAAAGCAGGGGAUCUUCGGACCUUGCGCGAUUGAAUGAGCCGAUGUCGGAUUAGCUAGUUGGCGGGGUAAAGGCCCACCAAGGCGACGAUCCGUAGCUGGUCUGAGAGGAUGAUCAGCCACACUUGAACUGAGACACGGUCCAGACUCCGACGGGAGGCAGCAGUGGGGAAUAUUGGACAAUGGGCGCAAGCCUGAGCCAGCCAUACCGCGUGGGUGAAGAAGGCCUUCGGGUUGUAAAGCCCUUUUGUUGGGAAAGAAAAGCAGCAGGUUAAUACCCCGCUGUUCUGACGGUACCCAAAGAAUAAGCACCGGCUAACUUCGU
rnacentral:rRNA from 1 species